UACGUAGGGGGCAAGCGUUGUCCGGAAUCAUUGGGCGUAAAGGGCGUGUAGGCGGCCCGAUAAGUCCGCUGUGAAAGUCCAGGGCUCAACCCUGGGAUGCCGGUGGAUACUGUCGGGCUCGAGUCCGGAAGAGGAGUGUGGAAUUCCUGGUGUAGCGGUGAAAUGCGCAGAUAUCAGGAGGAACACCAAUGGCGAAGGCAGCACUCUGGGACGUGACUGACGCUGAGACGCGAAAGCGUGGGGAGCAAACAGG
rnacentral:rRNA from 1 species